UAGAUUUUUCUUGAAAACUAAAAAUGCCUUUUAAGAUCAUUUCACUCUGCAUUUUAGAUUGGCUUUGAAUGCACAUGUACCGGUGCUGUUAUUAAUAUAUAACAGGUACUUACAGUCUUUGUAAAAUCAUAGUUCUCAAAACUUUUUUAUGGCAAGAAUAUCUGUUCAUGCCCAUAAAGAAUAUAAAAUAUUAGAACCCCUCUUCCUAGUUUUUAAUGUUUUUGUUUAUUAUAAUAAUAUGUUUUAAAGCAUUCUACAUUUUAUAGGGAUAUUAAGUGAACUUGACGUUGAUGUAAAUGAAGGGUCUCUAAUGGAGCUACAGGGACAUAUUGGAAGAUUCCAGCGCCAGUGCUUAGGACUACUAAGUCGCUUUGGUGGCUCUGACAGACUGCGUCAGUUUAAAUUUCAAGACGAUAAUGUGGAGGGAGAUAAAGUAAGCAAGAAAGAUGAGAUUGAACUGGCUAUGCAGCAGAUUUGUGCCAAUGUAAUGGAAUAUUGCCAGUCACUCAUGUUACAGAGUUCCUCUACCUUCCAGCAUGCUGUGUGUCUCUUCACUCCUAGCCUUUCAGAAACAGUUAAUAGAGAUGGACCGCGGCAAGAUACCCAAGCUCCAGUGGUUCCAUACUGGCGCCUGCCUGGUUUAGGCAUUAUCAUCUACCUGCUGAAACAGAGUGCUAAUGAUUUCUUCAGCUAUUAUGACAGUCAUCGACAGAGUGUCAGCAAGCUACAAAAUGUAGAGCAGCUUCCCCCAGAUGAGAUAAAAGAGUUGUGUCAGUCUGUGAUGCCUGCUGGUGUUGAUAAAAUCUCCACUGCCCAGAAAUAUGUUCUAGCAAGACGGCGCUUGGUGAAGGUGAUCAACAAUCGAGCUAAACUGCUUUCCCUUUGUUCUUUUAUCAUAGAGACCUGCCUAUUUAUUCUUUGGCGCCAUCUGGAGUACUACUUGUUACAUUGCAUGGCCACGGAUUCUCAAGAUUCCUUAUUUGCCUCGAGAACCUUGUUUAAAAGCAGAAGACUGCAAGAUUCCUUCGCCUCAGAAACCAAUCUAGAUUUUAGAAGUGGGCUGGCUAUAGUGAGCCAACAUGAUUUAGACCAGCUUCAGGCUGAUGCAAUCAACGCUUUUGGAGAAUCACUACAAAAGAAACUUCUGGACAUUGAAGGAUUAUAUUCAAAAGUUCGAUCUCGAUAUAGUUUCAUACAGGCUCUUGUCAGACGUAUCCGUGGCCUCUUGAGGAUAUCAAGGAACUGAGAGCCCGUGCUUAUGCUCUUCUAUGAGAGAGAUGAAUUGGGGAGAACUGUCUCCAUUUUAUGGAUUAGUUUCUUUCUAAAUUAUGACCAAAAAUAUUUUGCUAUUUCUUUCUUUGUAUAUGGACAUCUUUUCUGUAAACUUCUUCCCCUAGUUCCAUCCUCACUAGUAAAAAAUAAAUACUUUUUAAAAAAACAAAACAAA
rnacentral:sRNA from 1 species